GAUAAACGCUGGCGGCGUGCCUAAUGCAUGCAAGUCGUACGGGGUACUCUUUCGGGGGUAUCGAGUGGCGAACGGGUGAGGAACGCGUGGACAACCUACCCCGGCGUGGGGGAUACCCGCCAGAAAUGGCGGCUAAUACCGCGUACGGUCCAGGGGCGAGGGGCUACCUGGAAGAAAGCAGUGAUGCGCGCUGGGAGGGGUCUGCGGCCGAUUAGCUGGUUGGCGGGGUAAUGGCCCACCAAGGCGAUGAUCGGUAGCUGGUCUGAGAGGAUGAUCA
rnacentral:rRNA from 1 species